UCGCGCGAAAUGUCCCACUUCCCAAGAAGCCUCGCGGAUCUAGAGACAGAUUGCUCAGAUCAGUGUUUCUGCAGGUUUGUGUUUCUGCCGCAAACAGCAGCUGGAGGACCACACCGCACCGCACCGCACCGGACCGGACCGGACCACCUGCGCUCCGGGCAGGGCUCGGGCUCGGCUCGGCCGUGUAGCAGCCAGUCCGCUGAGCGAGGCCCGUCUUGUCUUGGUGCAUCUCUUGUCUGGGGGAAUAACACGCCAUGACUAAAGCAACGUGCAAGUUGGCAAGAAAAGAGUCAGCUGGGAAAGGGUAGAAAACAUCAAAUGUUGACCCUCAGUGAAACGUCUGACUUGUUUGCAAGCCACAGAGGACUGAGACGAAGACGAUCCAUGUCUAAGGGAUCCCAUCCCCCAUCGCCUCAUCGCUCCGUCCUGCUGAGUGUCUGGCUCACAUGAUGCAGUCGGAAUUCCAGAUGUUGCUCAUGGAAUUCUGCUCCAUCUCUGGCCUCCAAAUCUCUGGCCCCUCUCACUCCUCCUUCCUCUCCCCCCUAAAAUGCCUCGUGACUCUCCUCUCCAAAACACUGCAGAGAAGUGAACCAAAAAAAAUAAAAAAUGGGUGCCCUAAAUCUUUCUUGCGCAAUUGGAAAAUUACCUCAUCAUUGUAGCAGCGUGAUACCCCCCUUUCUGUAAUAAUCGCAUAUCAUCGAGGCGUUUUAACGCCCUCCCCAGCCUACCGACCCAACUCUUUGUGGCAACUGUAAUGUAUGUGUGGAAGUUGUUUGGAGAGUGGGUCAUUAAGAAGAGGGGUGCCGCCUAAGUUUACUGUUGGAGCCUUUAUUGGAUCACAAUGUUAGGUUGCGUAAACACACAGUGCAUAACGCGCAAAACACAUUGGCUUGCAAAAUUACUCAAACCACUUUAUUCUUUUUGACAUUAUGUCCACAACCUCAAAUAUUGUGGA